AGUGAACGCUGGCGGUAGGCCUAACACAUGCAAGUCGAACGGCAGCACAGUAAGAGCUUGCUCUUACGGGUGGCGAGUGGCGGACGGGUGAGGAAUACAUCGGAAUCUACUUUUUCGUGGGGGAUAACGUAGGGAAACUUACGCUAAUACCGCAUACGACGUACGGGUGAAAGCAGGGGUUCUUCGGACCUUGCGUGAUUGAAUGAGCCGAUGUCGGAUUAGCUAGUUGGCGGGGUAAAGGCCCACCAAGGCGACGAUCCGUAGCUGGUCUGAGAGGAUGAUCAGCCACACUGGAAGUGAGACACGGUCCAGACUCCUACGGGAGGCAGCAGUGGGGAAUAUUGGACAAUGGGCGAAAGCCUGAUCCAGCAAUACCGCGUGGGUGAAGAAGGCCUUCGGGUGGUAAAGCCCUUUUGUUGGGAAAGAAAAGAAGCAGGUUAAUACCCCACUGUUCUGACGGUACCCAAAGAAUAAGCACCGGCUAACUUCGUG
rnacentral:rRNA from 1 species